GUUGGUCACAUCGCGUCCACAGCCCAGAUCGGAGAGGAAUAAACGCACGCACACUUGGUGCUCGCCUAGUCUUCUCUUACUCCUAAACACGCCAGGGUCUCAAACUGGACAACGGUGUCAGCCACUGUCAUGCUGGACCUUCUACAGUUAUUUGAGAGGUCUGAGUGUAUACUAAUGAGAGAGAGAGAGAAAGAAAACAUGCUGAUUUGGGGUCAGCAUUUGGUAAAACCUGCAGAUGCAAUUCUGUUCUCUACUGUGCAGCUCUGCAACUAAGCAAGGGCAAUAAGG